UCUCAGUCGUUUUCACAUUUCCCUCUCUUCAAAAAUUUCAUUCUCAAUUUCUCUGUUUCUCCUCAAAACCCUAACCCUAAAUCGUUUCAAGCAAUCAAGCUUAACGUCUCAGCUCUUAAUAGAUCAAAGCCGUCAAAGCUCAAAGGUAAUUUUCUGUUAAUUGUUUUUGUUUUAGUUUUGAUUUUUUUAAUUUUUUAAAUACAGUUUUUGCUGUUUAUUUUUGUUGUUGUUCUUGCUUGAUAAUAAUCUUAAUAUGCGUAAUAUUUUUGUUGUUAAUUUCUAUUUUUGAUUUGUUUUUUUUACGGGAAAGGGUAGAUCAGUAGAUCGAUAAAUUUGUUGUUGACUUGUUGUUUAAUUUAUAUUUUUGUUUUCUUUUUCUAACAUUUGCAAAUCAGAUAUUAAGAUUAACAUUUUUUGUUGUUGUUGAUUUGUUGUUCAUAUCCUCAACUAGACUUUUCGGUCGAUCUGCAAUUCUCCAUCUUUAAAUCUUUCACCUUCAUCUUCAAAUCUUCCUCUGCUUCUAAGUUAUGGACACCCAUGACCCAUGUACAACAGCUUUCUUCUGGGAAUAUGAGAAGAUUCAAGAGAUUGUUACUUUAAAUACAUUUGUUUCUUUUUAAUUGUGUUUUGUAAUUUGUUAAGACUUUAUUUCGGUAUGUAAUAGUUAAUUAGGCAUUUAGACUUGUUA